CCGCACACAUACAGGUUGCCGUUGUUCUCGCCGAUGACCCGCCACAGCUCGUCCUUGUUCUGCUCCAGGAGGUGGGUCACGUACACCUUCUCCUUCUGGUCGCGCGAGAACGCCACGUGCAUCUGCAACAGGCAAGCCCUCGGCCGUGCCACCCUCCCGCUUCCGCCCGGUGCGCGUUCCCGGUCCCGAAUCUGCACCGCGCCAGCCUGACCUACUGAACGAUGUCGAGUUACCACACUAUACUCUUACAAACAUCAUAAUCUAAUAUGAAGGAUGGAGAAGGUGAGAAGGGGUAAGGAAAGGGGGAAGAGAGAAUACUAGAGAAACUUAUGCACAAGAGCAGAGGAAGCUGGAACAACUCGACAACACGGUGGGAAGAGGUGGAAAAGAUGCAGAUGCAGCAGUUACAACCCAAGCAGGUGGCCGGGAAUCCACAGACCACGGAGACGACAGGACGUCCUCACCUUUAGCGUGCCGUUGUUGACGUACUCCGUCAGCUCCUCCUCGUAGAUGAAGUCCUCGCUCUUCUUGCGACAGCCGAAGUACAGGAUGGUCUCCCCCACUGGCUUGCCUGCCGGGCGACACGACAUUCUCGCGUGUGCAGUCAGACCUACCUUCUUCCCUCAACUGGUUGCGCUCCUGGAUGAACCCGCGGAACGGAGCCAGGCCCGUCCCUGGACCAAUCAUUAUUAUCGGCACCUGCGGUCUGGUGGGUAACCUGCAACAACGUUCUUCACGUCAGUGACGACCCGACACUCAUCAUUCCCUUUGUGUAUUGGGAAAAUAUUUCGGAAAACCUAGAACCACUCAAACUAUAAUAGCUUUAUAAAUUAAAACGUCAGCUUUGUUUUUUUAUUAUUAUUCUUUUAAAAAGCAUAUAAUGUAUUACUAAAAAUGUGUUGCAGAUGCAAGAGUAAAGUGGGGGUACUUUACAUUGUAUGGGUAUGACUCAUAAGCAAGGAUAAAAAGGGAAAAAGUGUAAAAUAAAAUAUCCUAUAUAUAGUUGUUAUCACCGACUCACCAACUCAAACACCAAAGAGAUAUGUAUACCUUGGAGACAAGCAUGGAGCUCAAGUAUUAGUCUACUCCAUAGAGAUGUGUAUAAAAUAGAAAAUGGUAUAUAAAAUAGAAAAUGGAAAAUUAACAAUAGAGCAACAUUUGAAACACAGCUACAUGAGCGGAACACGUCUUAAGUUAUUAAAUUUAAAUGUUUGGUGUAUUCAUCAUUUUUCAAUGGGCACCUUAGAUGCCUUAGGAAUAACUAAUGCUCAUAAUUUAAAAAAAAAAAGAAGCUUAUAUCUCAGAAAGUUUAAAUCUACAUGAAAAACCAUUUCCCUUUUUGGAAACUUAAGUUUCCUCACCAAUAAUAUUUUGAAUUUUGUACUUAUGACCUUUCAAAAAAACUUUUGUUUUUAUUAUUUUAAAUAUGCUUAUACCUUUGAAGUUUAUAAUUUUAUUAAAAAAAAGUCAGUAUUUUUUUUUUUUUUUUUAUGUAUGUGUGUUUGUAUGACAAAGAUUUUUUCGAAGAUUUACUUUUUGUAGCUAAACCCUUUUGAAUUUCUGUAUUAUAUAUUCUUCUUUAGCGGUCAGUCAAUAUC